UGGGGAAUUUUGCGCAAUGGACGAAAGUCUGACGCAGCAACACCGCGUGAGGGAUGAAGCUUCUUGGAGUGUAAACCUCUGUCAGUGGGGACGAAGCCUGACGGUACCCACAGAGGAAGCAUCGGCUAACUACGUGCCAGCAGCCGCGGUAAGACGUAGGAUGCAAGCGUUGUCCGGAAUUAUUGGGCGUAAAGAGUUCGUAGGUGGCAUAUCAAGUCUGGUGUUAAAGCCCGGAGCUUAACUCCGGUUCAGCAUUGGAUACUGAUAAGCUAGAGUGCAGUAGAGGCAAGGGGAAUUCCCAGUGUAGCGGUGAAAUGCGUAGAUAUUGGGAGGAACACCGGUGGCGAAAGCGCCUUGCUGGGCUGUUACUGACACUGAGGAACGAAAGCCAGGGGAGCAA
rnacentral:rRNA from 1 species